rnacentral:misc_RNA from 1 species
GAUGAAGAACGUAGCGAAAUGCGAUAAGUAAUGUGAAUUGCAGAAUUCAGUGAAUCAUCGAAUCUUUGAACGCACCUUGCACCCUUUGGCAUUCCGAAGGGUAUGCUCGUUUGAGUGUCAUUGUACUCUCACACUUCCAAUUCUUUGGAUUGGGAGCGGUGGACUUGGGUGCUGCUGCUUACCGUGGCUCACCUCAAAUGUGUUAGUGCAACCGUUGGUUAGACAUAGUACAGCGUGAUAAGUAUCUUCGCUGGCGCCUCACUCGAGGGUGGCUGAUCAGGGCUCUGUGCCCCAAUCGUCUUCGGACAAUCACUGACAACUUGACCUCAAAUCGAGUAGGACUACCCGCUGAACUUAAGCAUAUCAAUAAGCGGAGGA